UACGUAGGUGGCAAGCGUUGUCCGGAUUUAUUGGGCGUAAAGAGCGCGUAGGCGGAGGGAGAAGUCCGGUGUGAAAGCCCACGGCUCAACCGUGGAAGGUCGCUGGAAACUCUUCUUCUUGAGGGCGACAGAGGGAAGUGGAAUUGCUGGUGUAGCGGUGAAAUGCGUAGAUAUCAGCAGGAACACCCAUGGCGAAGGCAGCUUCCUGGGUCGGCCCUGACGCUGAGGCGCGAAAGCGUGGGGAGCGAACGGG
rnacentral:rRNA from 1 species